UACGGAGGAUGCGAGCGUUAUCCGGAUUUAUUGGGUUUAAAGGGUGCGUAGGCGGAACGUUAAGUCAGUGGUCAAAUUGAGUGGCUCAACCCCUCCCGCCAUUGAAACUGGCGAUCUUGAGUGGAAGAGAAGUAUGCGGAAUGCGUGGUGUAGCGGUGAAAUGCAUAGAUAUCACGCAGAACCCCGAUUGCGAAGGCAGCAUGCCGGCUUCCGACUGACGCUGAAGCACGAAAGCGUGGGGAUCGAACAGG
rnacentral:rRNA from 1 species